AAGAGAAUAAAAGCAGGCUGCCCGAACCAGCAGCGGUAAUCUGCUGGGGUGUGCUUUUGGGUUAUGGAGCGUUUAUUUUUUUUUUUUUAGCUUUAGCUGUUUGCAAUGAGUCUUGCUGCUGCUUGUUGUUUGGGUCCACGUUGGUUUUAUGAGCUGUAACACUCCCUGAGAAGGUCUGUAGCUUCCCUCCAUGAAGCCAGUGAGAUCAGGAACUCACCAGGAGGUAUGAACAACUCCAGACGCGCCACCUUAAAAGUUGUAAUACUCACCGUGAAAGUCUGCAGCUUUGCUCCUGAGACACUAAGACUACGAACCCCACAGAAGGAAGAAACUCUGAACGCGUUCGAAUGUCAGGAGGAACAAACUGUGGCCACGCUGCUUUUAAGAACUGUAACGCUCACUUUGAGGGUGCGCAGCUUCAUUCUUGAACUCAGUGAGACCAAGAACCCCCCAAUUCUUCACAGAAUAGGUCUUACAGCUGUAAUUGUGGAAACCCAAACUCUUUUCACCAGAAAAGGGCCGAUGCCAAAAACUGAGUACUUUUUCAAUAAUAGCUGCUGAAUUAGAGAAUUUCUGCUUGGGGCAUUUACCGCCUUGCUAUGGAACAUUAACGGAAGCUCCCCCUAUGCUAAUGGAAAUAAUGUUUCCCAGAAGAGUCCAUGAUAAAAUAAAAAUGGUUUACACAAAAUCUUGCUACCUAGAAACCAAAAUCAUGGUAUUUUGAAGACCAGAGAUAUGAGUCUCCGUUGUUUGGCAUCCCACUGACCCCACAUCUGUUUCGCUGCUAAUGCUCUGCUGCCAGAACUAUCCAAGCUGCCUCCCUCUGGGCCCAGGGACUAUCGCUGAAGAGAGUAAACCCUAGGCCUGACUUCAUCUCACCCCUUAAACAAUUGGCUAUUACAUCAGGUCAGACCGUGUCCUCUCCCCCAUGAUCCAAAUCGCUAAUAUUUUAAAACUGUUACCACCAACCAGACUACUCCAGGAAUGAGCCUUCCUAGCACUGAGAGACCUCGCCAAAUGACCAAAUCAGAUAAGUCUAGGAAUGAGCCUUCCUAGCACUGUGGGACCUGUUGCUGUUUGGCCUGUAUAUGCAUGCUAUGGAAUGCUUUUCAGCCAAGAGUGGGGACUGAAGACUAAACUCUGAUUUUUUUUUUUUCUUGCCCAAAUUCCUAUCUAAGGGGUCCAGUCAUGCCCUACGAACAUAAAUUCUCAUCAGAUGGGUUUUAUUUGACCCUAUAUAUCAUGAUUUACUUCCCAACCUGACUCUGGCAUAACAUUACUAGACAAAGAAGAAAAUAAAAAUAUUUUACCCC